CCUUGGCUGGCUCAGUUGGUAGAGCAUGUGACUCUUGAUCUCAGGGUCAUGAGUUCAAGCCCCAUGUUGGGCA
rfam:Ailuropoda melanoleuca scaffold108_34, whole genome shotgun sequence.